rnacentral:tRNA from 1 species
GCGGAAGUGGCGGAACGGCAGACGCACACGGCUUAGGACCGUGAGCCCGAAAAGGCGUGGGGGUUCGAAUCCCCCCUUCCGCACCA